rnacentral:rRNA from 1 species
GAUGAACGCUGGCGGCGUGCCUAAUACAUGCAAGUCGAGCGAACGGACGAGAAGCUUGCUUCUCUGAUGUUAGCGGCGGACGGGUGAGUAACACGUGGAUAACCUACCUAUAAGACUGGGAUAACUUCGGGAAACCGGAGCUAAUACCGGAUAAUAUUUUGAACCGCAUGGUUCAAAAGUGAAAGACGGUCUUGCUGUCACUUAUAGAUGGAUCCGCGCUGCAUUAGCUAGUUGGUAAGGUAACGGCUUACCAAGGUAACGAUGCAUAGCCGACCUGAGAGGGUGAUCGGCCACACUGGAACUGAGACACGGUCCAGACUCCUACGGGAGGCAGCAGUAGGGAAUCUUCCGCAAUGGGCGAAAGCCUGACGGAGCAACGCCGCGUGAGUGAUGAAGGUCUUCGGAUCGUAAAACUCUGUUAUUAGGGAAGAACAUAUGUGUAAGUAACUGUGCACACCUUGACGGUACCUAAUCAGAAAGCCACGGCUAACUACGUG